GUAGGUGGCAAGCGUUGUCCGGAAUUAUUGGGCGUAAAGCGCGCGCAGGCGGUUCUUUAAGUCUGAUGUGAAAGCCCACGGCUCAACCGUGGAGGGUCAUUGGAAACUGGAGAACUUGAGUACAGAAGAGGAAAGCGGAAUUCCACGUGUAGCGGUGAAAUGCGUAGAGAUGUGGAGGAACACCAGUGGCGAAGGCGGCUUUCUGGUCUGUAACUGACGCUGGGGCGCGAAAGCGUGGGGAGCAAACAGGGAUUAGAUACCCUGGUAGUCCACGCCGUAAACGAUGAGUGCUAAGUGUUAGGGGGUUUCCGCCCCCUUAGUGCUGCAGCUAACGCAUUAAGCACUCCGCCUGGGGAUACGGCCGCAAGGCUG
rnacentral:rRNA from 1 species